AUUUUUCACCAACAAUUUUUAGGUCUUUCUUUGAAGAAGAAAAAGACAUUAAAACAGAGCAGAAUCUGGUGCAGAAAACAGAGCCAACACCUGGGCAAGGCAUGGCAGAACAUUGUGUCUGCCAUUUUAUGGAUGUAGCUUAUGAAUUUCUGUCUGCAACCGUUUCCAAAACCCCAGGAAAUGUUCAUGGGCUACACAGGGGCGGAAUUGGCAGCAGGUGAAAAGUUGCCUCUGUCCAAAUCACCAGCAUAUAUCUCCCAGACUUCUUAUCCCAGGAUUUCACCUCAGAAGCUUGGGAUCAAGGUCUGUGUUAUUUAUUUGGCAGGAGAGAUUUUGGUGGUUUUCACUGAGGUUAGUUAAUUACCCUGUAACUUUUUUCAUCAGCCUUGAAAUAGUUAGCAAGGACAUUUGGAGCUGUGCCUCACUGUAGAUGCUGUUUGACUCCUCUAUUCCAGGACUAACAGCCAAAUAAGUUCAAGUAAAAUGAUCCAAAUUUUUCAGUGCUUAUUCUGGUAAAAUUCACUGUUUGUUUUCCUUAGAUAAAGAUUAAAUAAGAACCAAAUCAUAGCUUUUGAAACUGGCCCCUUGAUAGCUGGAAGGAACACUGGAGACAUCUAAUGGAAGAUCAAUAUGUGAGAGUUCAGUACAGAAAACACUAUAUUUGCUUUUUCUUUUUUAUUUUUUUUCUUAUAUAUUAUCUACAAGCACAAGCUUUCAUAUUUUUAAUGUAAAAAUGCAUACAGAUCAUUAUAUAUAUAAAAAUCAACUAGCCUUGUAGCAAACUGCCAGAUCCAACUAUCCCCAGGUUGGGGACAACCUGUCUGGAUCCAGGUGUAAACCCAGUGGCUGAUCCUCUCUUCCAUCUGUGGAUGCACCAAACCCCCAGAUACAAAGAUUCUCAGAGUUCCAGGGAAGUUUUGGGUCCUGAUCCAGGUCUUGCAGCACGGGCAUGACUAACUCUUCAUCAAUUGAAGAUAAAUAUUUUAAAAAACUUCAUAAAUGACAGUUAACUUGUUGAAGGUAACAAGUAUCCCUUUCACCUCUGCUCCCCAUUUUUAUCUUCUUUGCCAUCCUCUCUCUGCAGAAAUGGCAGAGGGCAGAGAAAUUCAAUAUCAGUGUCACAUACACACACAUAAACAGCAGCAGGAGAAGCAGAAUUGAAUCUGUUGAUGUCUGCUGCAGAAAGGCUACUGAUUGUGGGUUCAUGCUGCAAUCAGCCCUUUCAAUGCUUGGGCAAUUUUGGGCUCAAUUUGCACAUUGUGGGAAUAUGAAAGAUUUACAAUAUAUCCAGUAAUAGGUUGCAACAUUGUGAGCAACAGUAGAUCAAGUUGCAUUUAAUGCUAUGUAAUGCAUAUCAACA
rnacentral:lncRNA from 1 species